UAAAUCUUUUAUCUUAAAUACAUUCAUCAACUUUGAUUUCGAAUCUAUAAUAUGAUUUACAUUUUUGGACAGUAUUAGGAUGUCAUCAACAUACGUUACAAUUAUAGUUAAUUCAUUUUCAAUAGUUUGGAAAUAUAGACAUGGAUCGGCUUUCAGAGACUCAUAUUUCUUUCGCAUUGCUUGGACCCAUUCGUUGCUCAUUUCGUCAUCUAAGGCAUCUUUGAAUGUGCUGGGUUCUUCAAUUGUUGCGUUGCAAACAAAAUCGUUCCAUGUUUUUGGACAUGGCUUUCUUUUAGAUCUUCUUUCUCCUUCUUUAUCUGGAUGUUCAUCAUCAUUUGUGUCUGCAUCUUCGGAAUAGGAAUCUGGUACGUAGUCGCUGUCUGAGUCGACUUUUUCUGUUACCUCUAUUUCGUCGUCGUCCUGUUGUUCAUCAGGUUCGGCAUUUUCAUCUGUGAUUGAGUCGUCUGGUGCUUGUCGAUCUUCUUUGGGUUGAUCUUCUCGUUUUUGUUGGAGGCUGAACUCGAAGGUGUCAUCCUUAUCGUUGCUACAUUUAUUUGUAUUGAAGACCCCUUCAAUGAAGCUAACAUCACGGCUGACAACGAUUUUCCGUUCUUCUUCUAACCAAAUUCUAUAGGCUUUGCUUUCUUCGCUAUAGCCAACGAAUGUUCCAAGAGUCGAUUUCGUCUCCAACUUGGUUCGAUUUGGUUUUUUAUUUAGAACGUAGGCUUUGGAACCAUAAAUCCUCAGGUGUGUUACUACCGGUUUUCUUCCAAACCAGAUUUGGAAUGGUGUAAUAGGAUGGGUAGUAUUUGAUACACAUCUGUUCCGUAUGUAGUUAGCUGUCACAACGGCCUCUGCCCAAAAGGUUUCUGGACAUUUUGAUUGUAUCAGCAUACAUCUGGCCAUCUCAAUUAAUGUGCGGUUUUUGCGUUCAGCUAAUCCGUUUUGCUGUGGUGUGUAAGGGGCGGUAAGUCUUCGUUGUAUGCCAUGUUGCGACAAAUAGUCAUUCAUCUGUUUGUUAACGAAUUCUAAUCCAUUAUCAGAUUGAAGAUAUUUCAGUUUCUUACCAGAAACUUUUACAACUGUGUAUCGUGAUUUUUGGUCAGUAAAUGUGACCAUGUAUCGUGAACCUCCAUUCGAGACAGUAGUCAUGGGGCCACACACGUCUGUAUGAACAUACUCUAGUAGUUCAUUUGCUUUGUUGCUGGAUGCUUUUGGAAAUUCUUUCCUUGUCAUUUUUCCUUGGGUACAAACUUCACAAAUGGGAUUUUCGCUUGUUAUUUUCAAUGGUUUAGGAUUCACUCCUAUUACAGAUUCUUGGGCAAUCAUGUCUUUCAAUGCUCUUGCAUUUAGAUGGCCGAAUCUGUUAUGCCAUAGUUUGAAAAUUUCAUCGCUCUUGGCGUCUGUGAAGUUGGCAUAGUCGUUCGAUUGAUUUCUCACCACAUAUAGGUCGUCUUUUCUAUCUGCAACCGUAGUAAGUGCACCUUGUUUAUUCCGAACGAUGGCCUUGUGUUUGUAGAAGGUUACUUCGUACCCCUUAUCUGUAAUUUUGGAAACAGACAUUAAGUUUAAGUUCAGGUUUGGAACGUACAGCGUAUUUGGUAAAUCACAAAUUUUGUUUGUUGGUCCGAUGUCAGCAUUUAUCUGGAGAGAGCCUAUUCCUUCAGAUUUGGAAUUGCUUUCGUUCGCCAUGUUGACAUUCUUAACGGAUGACUUCAAAUCAUAGAAAACUUCCUUUGAGUUGCACAUAUGAGAGGUACAUCCACUGUCUAAGAUCCACUCAUUUCUGGAUAUGCCUUCUUUCACAGAAGUACAUUGUUCAUUGACAUAAUAAGACUCUUGUUUAUUCUUAUUGAACCAACAAUCCGCUAUUACGUGACCUUUCUUCUUACACUUUUGACAAGUUUUUGUCUUUCUGUUCUCAUUAGUCGCCUUGGACUUCGAGUUGUUGUAUGUAUUGUUCUUUGGUUUUCUCCAAGCAGCCAUCGCACUCGACGUUGAUGGGUCGUUGUUUCUGUCGCGACGAGAGUCGGAUUCCUCUAUGAUUUUCACUUUCAAGUUUUCUAUCGUAGGUAGCGCGUCUCGGCUCUCUAUGGCGAUGCGGAAGUUGUCGAAAGACUCAGGUAGACUGUACAGCAUGAUGAUUUUCAGCAAUUCCUCGUUGAUGUCGAGUUCCAUGUCUUGCAGCUUGUCCACGGUGUCUGCGAGCUUCGCUAGAUGCACGCGCAGAUCUUCGCCCUCAGACAUUUUUGCGAACAGUAGUUGUUUCAAGAGGUUGGCCUUUUUGCAGGUCCUCGUGGCUCGUGAAUUGCAGAUAACUUGCUCCAAACUUCUCUAGAAGUUUUGCGAUGUUUAAUUUCACGCAAUUCGGAAACAUUAAUUGAAAGAAUUAAAUCGGACUUAGCUUUUGCAUCGUUGCUGUCCCACGCAGCGACUUCGGCGAUGGUUUUCGGUGUGUCCGGGUCUAGCGUUGGUCUUUCGUUAGUUCCAUUGACGUAUUCCCAUCCACCGGUUUUUAUGAGGAGUGCUUCAGCCUGGAUUUUCCACGUGUCGUAGUUGGCCUUAUCGAGCAGUUGGAUUCUCGUUGUUGCAUUCAUUUUUCACUUAACUUUAUUUUUCGCAAGAAAUAUUGUUUGUAACUUAUCUUUACUAUAUUGGCGAUUGGCCUGGGCCCAUAACCUGUUAAGGAUAUGGUCGGAUCGUUAAAGUAAAGACAGAUUUCGUAUAUCAAAAUGUUAUUUCUUAGAAGCGUGUGUAUUCGACUGUACUAUUGUAUUUAUUCAUUGUAUGCAACCAUGCGUCUGGAAUAUUCCAUGGAACUUCUGGGCCUUGUGUCGCUGUUAAACAGCACCAUUUUGCGUUUCGCUCUGUGGCAUUAGCACCAUCUCCUCGUUCCUUGUAUAUUUGGAACUUGAAUACGUAUGCUGCUCCCAUCUGUGCGGUUGAUUCGCAUGAUGCUGAUACAGGUUGCAUGGUCCUUUGUGUCCAUUGUUUUCCUCUCCACCCUGCUAGAUUGUGUGUUACACACGAUCCGGCCGGUCUUCCCAUGCGGAAGUUCGGGAUCGGGUUGUUGUCGUCCAUUGUUAGUGCCAUCACAAUAUCGGCUGCAACGCCUAAGGAUGGAACUUCUUCAAAGAGAUUGUGGCUGUCCACGGUUAUGUUUGGUGAAUGAUAUCCACCUAACCCUUGUGCCACGGCAACUGGUAGCUCAGGAAUUUCAAUAUAUAUUCAAUAUAUAUUCCACAUCAACAAAAAUCAUCUACACGAUAAAUACUUAAAUAUUAAAGAAAACAUCCAGAUAUACAAACACAAAAUCAAACAACUGCUAAACGAACAAAUAAACUCCAUACACGACUUUUUAAAAUACUUAACAAACUCCGCAUACCCACAACACACGAUAACACACCAUAACAUAAACACUUAACACGCAGAACACCCCUAAUAUACAAGACAAGUUUUUUCAGGGCGAAACAUGUAAAACUCAAAAAUACAACUGUAAAUUCAAAAUCACGUAAAUUUUAAUAAAUAAAUAUAUUUUUAUACAUGCACAACAUGGAUUACGUAUUCGACAUCGAGAGUAAUAAAAUCAAACCACUUAAUAAACUCCACAUACCACAGCACAUAACGAUAACAUAAACAUUUAACACACAAAACACCCUCUAAACACAAAAUCAAAUUAGUGACUGAAGCGAAAUAUGUCUACCUCAGAAACAUUUUUGUAAUAACUUAAACAUGGAUUACGUAUUCGAAAAAGAAAAUAAAAUGAAAUAAAGUUUUCUUAUACUUACAGCAUGUUUAAAUUGUUCUGAAGUUCUGAAGAUCAGUAAAAGUUGUGUGGCCGGGGUUGUGAUUCAAAACUCACUGACCGCUCCGCUUUUUUUAUGCCAACUAUCACCCGAAAAAGUAGAUAAAGUUGUAGGAGGAGGAUACACGUUGUUGUGUGUAUCGCAAAUAUGAAAAAAUGAUACGAAGAAGCCAUAAAUUCGACGCAGUCCAUAUUCUAAAUCUAGUACGUAACGUACGAAGUGAACACAGAAUUAGACCAUUAAUCUGUCUACCUAUUGUAAUACUCGUCACUCUCGGUUUGAUUAUGGUCCUGCUGUCAUUCUCAUCGUGGAGCUCCAGUAAGCAUCUUAUCCGUUUGCGGAGGGUAUCGUUCGGCGUGUUGGUAAGUAUCGUUCCGUAUGUUUUUAUUUGUCGUUUUUGGUAUCACUCUUUGUUUUUCAGGAAAUCGUGCUGGAUGUUUAGAAGAUCAGGGAGAGAAUCUUUCCGCCAGCUGCUUAUAUAUGCCUUUUUUCACCUGUUCCGGUUUGUUGUAUAGAUUAUUGAUUUUCCGCUAGGUUUGCUAGUGGAUCUACGAUAGUCCAUCGCUGUGUCGCGCGAUCUCGUGGACUAUGGUGUCCUUAAGAACAUUUGCGCGGGAGGUUGAGAAGAUGUUUUCCUCGAUUUUCUUGAACCAACGUUUUUUUGUAGGUUUAUUUUUACAGAUCGCUUUCUUUUAAGGCUUGUCCACUGCAACGAUUGCCAGAUCGUCCGCAUAUACUAUGAGGGAUACCUCGGGUUUUACAGUACCUUGUAAGUGCCAUUCUGUUGAUGCCCAUUGAAGAAGUUUUCGGAGUUUACGAGUACACAUACCAAGGAAUCUACAGCAUCCGUCGCCGCGGAGAGAUGCGCGUGAUUCAAGGUAAGUUUUACUUUUAGAAAAGCCGUUCAUGAUUUUAGAUAUAUUAAAAAAUGUAUGUGUUUUUCAAUGUUGUCAAUAAAAUAAAAUGUAAUAUUAUAAA